rnacentral:ribozyme from 1 species
AAAAAAGAAGAAAAAAAAAAAGAAGGAAAAAGCUUGAAAGGGAGAGGGAGAGCACCAGCACGCUCUCAUUUUUUUCAUUCUCCCGUGGAUUUUUACCCCUCCUCCUCCUCCUCAUACUUUCCGUGUCUUAAAGUCCUGGACCAAUUUGAGUGA